UGGGACUAUCCCAUGGAUCCCACAAAGAAGACAGGCGAGAGUCCACCACUGGCGCACCUCCAAGGAGUUCUCCUUCUCUGCCAAGAUGCAAGGACUUGUCUCUAGGCAAUGAUGACAUUCACUGUGAUGCUAGCCAGACCUCACAAUCAGGCCUGGUGCCCUGAUAGCAGCGCAUGAGCAUUCAUGGGGCAGGCUCAGAAUACCAGCUGUCAGAGCUGUCAGCCUUCCUAAGCAGAGGAAAAUGGUACAGGCAGAGCUGGAUUAGUAUCGGGAAUAUGGCUGCUGGCAAAAACUCACUGAUAAAAUCCCAAGAUGAUGAAAGAGUGUCCCCUUGUGAUGUGAAGCAACUGCCAAGCUGGGAGCGGAAUUCGAGUGGGAGGUGAUUUGGACACCAGAGUCUUACAACCCAGCUCCCAAUUUACUAGAUUCAUAAUCCACAGAAAAGUAAAGAACGUGGGCCAUGCAGCCAAAGAAAACCCACAUAGGCCACCAAACGGAUGAGACUCAUAAUAAAGAAGCACUGAAGUGCAUUGGCCACAUUUUUUUAAGCUGACUCCACUUGCAGGCACACACACACACACACACACAACAC